UCGUUUUACACACCCUAGUGACUGUUCAAUAUUAUGAAUACAGAGAUGAAACGCUGACAUUCUCAUGUAUGGGGAAAGAAAAAAAAUUGCAUUAAAUUGUUUUUUAUUGCUUACAUUUGCCGUCCUACUAACAUGUUCACAGGAGUGCCAGGAGAAGACAUAAUUAGGCGCCAUCCCAACAGCGGUCAUUUAUUUUAUACAUUGAAUCCAGACAUCAAAAAUAUGGCUGAUUUACUAUGCGGAUAUAUAUAGAUUUUUAAAUUAAAGUG
rnacentral:lncRNA from 1 species